rnacentral:rRNA from 1 species
GCCUAACGGCUGAACUGGCAACUUGGAGAAGUGGCAAGUCUUCCAGUAUGGGGAGCAAAACAGCUAUGGGUCAAGUCCGAUAUCUUUAGGAGAAGUCUUAUUGUGAGGGCGAGUUAUAUAACACCAUAGGACUGGCCGUCCCAUAUGAAAAGAUUAUAUUAGAAUUGAAUGAAGCUUUGUUUAUAUAUUGAUAAUGACAGUAUAUAUAUCGUGUCUUGACUAAUUGCGUGCCAGCAGUCGCGGUAAUACGUAAGAGACUAGUGUUAUUCAUCUUAAUUAGGUUUAAAGGGUACCCAGACGGUCAAUAUAGCUUAUAAAAUGUUAGUACUUGACUAGAGUUUUAUGUAAGAGGGCAGUACUUGAGGAGGAGAGAUGAAAUUUCGUGAUACCAAAGGGACUCUGUAAAGGCGAAGGCAGCCCUCUAUGUAAAAACUGACGUUGAAGGACGAAGGCACAGAGAACAAACAGGAUUAGAUACCCAAGUAGUCUUUGCAGUAAAUGAUGAAUGCCAUAGGUUAGAUUGGUCAAUUAUAGUCUAGGGUUAGUCUAGCAAACUAAUGCCCUGUGCUAUAAUNNNUCAAAAUAUCUGGUCUAUAAAUGAAAGUGUAAGCAUUUCACCUCAAGAGUAAUGUGGCAACGCAGGAACUGAAAUCACUAGACCGUUUC